UCCUGGAUAGAUGGAGCAGGUGGCGGUUUUGUGGACACUGCUGAGCAGUGGUGGCCGUGCUGAUGCUGGCUUCAGGCUGCGUGCUUGCCUGUGAGGUGUGCACACACAUGCCCGCCCACACUUACACAUGCUUUGCUGUUCUUCGUUGUUUGCACCAAGUGUUGAAUGCCCACCUGAUGUGUAUCUAGCCCGCCCUGUUCUAAGAUCUGCUGUCUCCGUUAUGAGGUACAGCGCCUCUGCUUUUGGGUUUGCAUUUGAUGCCAUCCUGGACGUCCUGUCAUCGGUGAUUGUCCUGUGGCGUUACAGCAAUGCGGCUGCGGUACACUCUGCCCACAGGGA